rnacentral:tRNA from 3 species
GUUCUUGUAGCUUAAUUGGAUAGAGCACUGGGUUCCGAACCCAGCGAUUGGGAGUUCGAAUCUCCCCAAGAACA